AGUGAGCUGGGUUCUACGUGUUUGAGAGUGUGAGUUGGAAGCAGACGUUGAAAGAUGCCGUAUUUAUAGCACGAGCCCAAUCAAUCAUGCGUGCUUUCACGUCGAUAUGCCUAUGUGGAGGUGAUAUUAUCAUCAUCAUCAUCAUCAUGAGGACUCCCUAUCGUGACGUUACCCACAGUAUCUGACUGUAUGCAGCGCUCCAUAGAGCGCAUGGCUGCGAGCACAUGGAAAUGAGGUCGAGAUAUGUGUUUGAAAGACACGCACCUAUCCGAAAUGGAAUAUAACUAAUAAUGCACUAAACGGAGUCAGUGAACGGGAUGGCUGUUGACGACCCUCCCCUUUCUGCUAUACUCAGCUGUCAAUCAACCAGGAUGAGCAGAUCUCUAAUCAAGACAUGGACCUGGAUGCAAAGACUGAAAAGAUAUUUGGUGCUCCCCAGACCAAUGUUUCGAGGCAGGGAUGAACUACGCUGUUCAUCUGAGCUUGCCCCUCUACUCUGCACUCAGCGAUGUCCAGUACCCAUACACACUCUCGUCCAAGGUGGCUUAGCAG